GUGAUAUUACUCUCAUAGCCCAGCUCCUGCUGAAUGACUCCCUCUAGGAUAUUUUCUAGGGUGUUAUGCCAAUGAAGUUUUUGGUUUUAUUUGUUGUAAAUAGCAAGACUUCCAUUGUUUUACCAAAAAAUUUUCAGAUCACUCAUUUUCACUAAAUUUGUAAAAUAAAAACAUAUAGGGCAUGUUUUAGUACAAUAUUUUGAUUAAAUUAAUUUUCUAUAUUAAAAAUGCUUGGUUUCCACCUUCUAGGAAUUAAUAUUUGAAGAAACAAAACAUUCAUUCUACUAGAAUCAGAUGCUGUGAGUUGAUUUUGGUAGCUAUUUGCUGCUCUGCAGACCUAAUUUCAGGCUGCUGUGGUUCUCAGCAGCAAUUUGAUUUUGUGAAUAUUAUCUUUUGUAUUCUGAAUCCCAUUGCUAAGCAGGGUGGUGUUGUAAAAAUAAAAACAUAAGGUUCUCUUGUCUGAGUCUGUGUGGGAGUCAGCAAUGCUUAUUUCUAGCAUGAAACAUUAUUUGUAUGGUGAAUUUCCCAAAUGCUGUUUGACCUUGGAGUUGUUCAUUUAAUUAAAAAAACUUCAAUGCCUACUAUGUGCCCGGACCUCUUCUAGGUAGAGACGAUACAAGAGUGGUACAGAAGUGAACAACAUAGGUAACUGGUCUGGCCUACAAGGAUUUCGCAUUCUGGGCUUUGGAGACUGAUUUUAGCAGGAACUUAAAAAGAUAAUUUCAGGCUGUGAUUAGAGCUCUGGAGUAAAUAACAAAGAGAUAUGAUAAAAUGUAACCUGGGGAGUCAGGCAAUGGCUGAAUGGAGGAGGGAGGAGAUAACUUCAGAGCAUGAGAGGGAAGACUUUUCUGAGGCCGUGCCUUUAAGGUGAGGAACAUAAGUAGUCUUUUGGAGAGUUGGGAAAGUUGUACAGGGUAAUAUCAAGUGCAAAGGCCCUGGGGCAGUGGGCUUGUUGUAUUUGAGAAACAGCAGGUGGGUGUGGCCAAAGCCUACCAAGAGAUGACAGUGGAGAAGACAGGAGGGUCCUGUAGUUUAUGAUACACAAGCAGCCAUUUUUACAAACAAUAACUAAGGCACCUUUCCUUUUCAGAUGGUGGAAUUGCACGACUUAGAGUAUUCGGUACUGGACAAAAAGACUGGACUGCAACUGACCCCAAAGAACCUGCAGACCUAGUGGCCAUCGCUUUUGGGGGUGUCUGUGUAGGAUUUAGUAAUGCUAAGUUUGGGCACCCAAACAAUAUAAUAGGAGCUGGCGGGGCAAAGUCUAUGGCGGAUGGUUGGGAAACUACAAGAAGGCUGGACCGGCCACCAAUAUUAGAAAAUGAUGAGAAUGGCAUUCUCUUGGUUCCGGGUUGUGAAUGGGCAGUUUUCCGAUUGGCACAUCCUGGAGUAAUAACUCGAAUUGAAAUUGACACAAAAUAUUUUAAAGGCAAUGCUCCUGACAGCUGUAAAGUGGAUGGGUGCAUCCUGACAACUCAAGAAGAAGAAGACGUGAUCAGGCAAAAGUGGAUUCUCCCGGCCCACAAGUGGAAACCACUGCUUCCAGUGACCAAGUUGUCUCCCAACCAAAGUCAUCUGUUCGAUAGCCUGACCCUGGAGCUCCAAGAUGUCAUCACUCAUGCCAGGCUCACCAUCGUCCCCGACGGGGGGGUGAGCCGCCUUCGGCUCCGGGGCUUCCCCAGCUCCAUCUGCCUCUUGAGGCCCCGGGAGAAGCCCAUGAUGAAGUUCUCGGUGGGCUUCAAAGCAAACCCUUAACACACACAAAGCCCCGGUGUCGGACACACAGCAGUAAUUUCCCAGUCAUAGUCUUCUUUUCAAGUGUUUUGAACACCUAGUGAUUUAAUAAAGUGGUCAUCUCACAAA
rnacentral:sRNA from 1 species